rnacentral:snRNA from 1 species
AUCGCUUCUCGGCCUUUUGGCUAAGAUCAAGUGUAGGAUCUUCGAAAUGAGAUCUUGCAACAAUCAGUUACUUGAGUUUUUGACUGCUCUUAUGUAUGCAUUUUCUUUUGUAAGUUAUUUUCUGCUACAUGUCCUACUGUAUGUGCUGGGUACCUUGAGCAUGAAAACACUGACU